AAUCCUUUUAUGUCAAUAUUUUUGCAGCAAUAUCAAUUCUGUUUUGUUAACAUGUCUUUCUUUUCUUUGUAGAUUCAACAUAUCACUGCAUAUAUGGACUCAUCCAUCAUUGGAGCACGCUUUUGCAUUGUUUUGACGUUUACAGCAGAAAAGACAGUAUUUCAAGACACUACAUCACAUCCUUUCGUAGAUGCAUAACGGGGGAGUUGUUCGUUCUUUGGCAGGAAAUUGUCGGUUUUAUAAAAUAUGCAAAUCCAGAGCUUUGAGCGCUGCAGGAUACAAUCAAAUCCAGUUUUGAAACAUCUGUGGUUCCUACAUUUGAGUUCUCCUGCAAAACCAUGUUUGAGUUUCUGAAGAAAACUACUGAUAUUGGCCAUGAGAAAAUCUUACAAGCGCUAUAAGAAAAGGUAUUGUGCAAUAUUCAAAUGUUUGCCAAAGCUAUGACCUCUCUGUUUGCUGCAUAUUAUGAAGACUUCUACAUAUUCACUCUGCGGAUUUUUAUCAUGUAGAAACAACUAAGCUAGAAUAUCAAUAAGUUAGAGA